rnacentral:SRP_RNA from 2 species
CUCUUAGACCUGUGCAAUGCUAUUUUUAAGCACCGCUUCAGGGUGGGAACACAGCAGAGCACUUAAACUUAGUGUGUGCCGCAGUAAUCUGGGAGAGG